rnacentral:lncRNA from 1 species
AAGCUCUCUCAGUCUCUGCCAGCCAGUAUUGGGCCUCUUCGAAAGAGGAUCCCCCUGAAAAAGUAGAAGGGUUCAGUCUUCUGUACCUCUCUAUGAAGCCGGGGUCGAUCAAGGAAGGAGCGGGGUCCCGAGGUAGAGGGACUGGGGCCGGCUGAGGGUGAACUGGGGGACCCUGUGGUGGCGCCUGCUGAUGUGGUGGGGGCACUGGAAUGUGCUGUGGCGGCACCUGUUGGUACUGUGGCUGUGGUACCGGGUCGUACCGCGGCUGUGGUGCCGGGUGGUGCUGUGGAGGAACAGGCUCCUGCCGGGGUGGCUCGAGAUCAGCCUGCUGUAGCGGGGGCUCAACCUGCGCUAGCGGAGGAGGUCCCGGUAACUCCCUUCUCU